GGAUUAUGACUGAACGCCUCUAAGUCAGAUCCCCGCCUGAAAAGCGACGAUGCAUUCGUGCCUCGGCCUCGAGAGGGGUAGCUAGACGGCCGUGUGGCCGUGGAAAGAGCCCGAUUCCGACCCGAGAGGCCGCGGCAAGAGGCGGCCUCGAAGUCGGUGGAUCCUCCUGCUCGAAAGGCGGGGUGCUAAACCAUUCGCAGACGACCUAGUUGAAGAUCGGGGUGUCGUGAUCACUAGAGCAGUACAUCUCACUGCGAUUUGUUGAGAGUAAGCCUCAAGAUCUGUCGGUUUGU
rnacentral:ncRNA from 1 species